rnacentral:lncRNA from 1 species
AUUUUGCCUUUCCAACUCUGAGGUAAUGCUGAAUUUCAAAUGUAUUAAAUUUUUCCAUUAACAUCAUAUACUUGGGAGUCUGUUUAUUGUGUAAAUAUUGCGCACUAGAAGCAGAGUGGUUUUGCAUUCUUCCCAACAAUGUGUGAGGCACUUAUUUUGCAAAUAUUGUCUUAGCUGCAUUUUUCACGGAGAAAGACUUAAAUCAUCUGUUUUCAAAAUCGUUUAAUAAAGAUUUUUAUCUUU